rnacentral:tRNA from 1 species
CGGGUCGUUAGCUCAGUUGGUAGAGCAGUUGACUUUCAUCAAUUGUCGCAGGUUCGGAACCUGCACGACUAA